UACCAGUUUUACAGGCAGGAGAGUUCGCUUGUCUCCGCUAGCUCGUAGCAGUGGAAAUGGAGAGAAGUGGAUGGAUUUGAGAGUCGUUUUAAAGCAGUUGACUGAGAAAGCAUUAAGGCUCAACACAAUCUUGAUUAUACCAAGGAUCUUACAUUUUAUUCUCUAUGUGGUGAGGAGUUGCCCAUGGCUUUGGAAGAAGAGUGUCAUAGGGGAGGAUGCUGUCACAAUUUCAUUUGUCGUUGAGGAAGCAAUGCAAAGACUGGCCUGAUUGGGAGAUCUUGGAGUUUAGGGAGAUCAGCAAUAACGGAGUUGAAUGGCAAUGGCGUCCCAAGGAGUGUUGUUGCAGAUCUUGAAGCCCAGGUCAGGAAGGACACCCAUCUGGAAAGAAUAUACUGACUCUUUCUGUCCGUUUAGCACAGAGGUGGGAGGCGGUGUACAUCUGCCUCUCAUUUGCUCUCACUGAACAGAUAGGGCUUUGAGUCCCUUUUAGCUCACACACUCCACCUUUCACCGUCAUUCAUGAAUCGACGGAAGGUCAAUUCCAUUCUACUUAUGUGAGGCCCAUGCUUUGUGCUCUGUACUGAGGAGUGUGAGAUAAAAAAGAAUAAAUAAUGCAUGGUCUUUGCCUUUAAGGGAUUCUGGAUGAUUAGUGGAGGUAGAUGAGGAGUAUUAAUAUUAUCUCCAUUUAGCAGAUAAGAGGAACUGCAGCUCCACCAAUGCAGUGGG